rnacentral:misc_RNA from 1 species
UAAUAAGUGUUUUAUGGCACUUUUUAAAUCCAUAUCCACCUUGUGUGCAAUGUCAGUCGAUCUUCUUCAUGGAGAUCGACCAAACAUCAACCUUUAUUUUUUAACUUUUUGUCUGAAAAAUAUUAUGAAUAAACAAUUCAAAAUA